AAUAAAGUGCCUGAUAAAAAGGGUUAUUUUGAUAGAAUAUAUAAUGUGAUUACUAUCACCUUUAUUA
rnacentral:tRNA from 1 species